GUUAACUCUGUCGCUUCCGGGAGACUGGCUGAUAGCGUUCAAAGCUCGAUAACGAGAACAUUCCGUCUGUGGAGCAGAGGAGCCGCUGUGGCGCGAAUAGCAGCGCAGAUUAUCGGAGGAAAGGGGCCUGUCCUUUGAAUGAAAUAUCUCUUUCGCUCGAAGACAAAAUGCUGUUGGGAGAAAGUGCAAUUCAGCGAGGGGAAUAUGGAGAAUAAGAAGAGAAGAGUUUCUCACACUAGGCUCACAUACAUGUGUCUUUCUGCAGACCGUUAACUCCCAGCCAUUACCCCGUGAAUCACCUCCUUCCCAUGCUGCUUGCAAAUUAGACAUUGCCAAAGCCAAUGGAGUGCUGCAGACGAGCCUUCCACUUCUACAGAUGCCCAGGAACGCAAGCCAUUCACUGACGGAAAAAAAAAAGUCUUUGGUAGUAACACGAUUGAAAUUGUUAUUUGUAUCAACUUCUCCAUAAUUUAGACAAUUUAAAUACAAUAAGCAAGGCUGAGAAAAAUGAUGAAAGGAAAAUUAAACCUUUACUGACUGG